rnacentral:rRNA from 1 species
UACGAAGGGUGCAAGCGUUACUCGGAAUUACUGGGCGUAAAGCGUGCGUAGGUGGUUUGUUAAGUCUGAUGUGAAAGCCCUGGGCUCAACCUGGGAAUUGCAUUGGAUACUGGCAGGCUAGAGUGCGGUAGAGGAUGGCGGAAUUCCCGGUGUAGCAGUGAAAUGCGUAGAGAUCGGGAGGAACAUCUGUGGCGAAAGCGCCUUGCUGGACUAUUACUGACGCUGAGGAACGAAAGCCAGGGUAGCGAAAGGG